GACGUAGGGCGCGAGCGUUGUCCGGAUUUAUUGGGCGUAAAGAGCUCGUAGGCGGCUUGUCGCGUCAACUGUGAAAACCCGUGGCUCAACCAUGUGGUCUGCAGUCGAUACGGGCAGGCUAGAAUUCGGUAGGGGAGACUGGAAUUCCUGGUGUAGCGGUGAAAUGCGCAGAUAUCAGGAGGAACACCGGUGGCGAAGGCGGGUCUCUGUGCCGAUAUUGACGCUGAGGAGCGAAAGCGUGGGGAGCGAACAGG
rnacentral:rRNA from 1 species